rnacentral:rRNA from 1 species
AACCUCCGCAAUGUGAGAAAUCGCGACGGGGGGAUCCCAAGUGCCAUUCUUAACGGGAUGGCUUUUCAUUAGUGUAAAGAGCUUUUGGAAUAAGAGCUGGGCAAGACCGGUGCCAGCCGCCGCGGUAACACCGGCAGCUCUAGUGGUAACAAUUUUUAUUGGGCCUAAAGCGUCCGUAGCCGGUUUAAUAAGUCUCUGGUGAAAUCCUGUAGCUUAACUGUGGGAAUUGCUGGAGAUACUAUUAGACUUGAGACCGGGAGAGGUUAGAGGUACUCCCAGGGUAGAGGUGAAAUUCUGUAAUCCUGGGAGGACCGCCUGUUGCGAAGGCGUCUAACUGGAACGGUUCUGACGGUGAGGGACGAAAGUUAGGGGCGCGAACCGGAUUAGAUACCCGGGUAGUCCUAACUGUAAACGAUGCGGACUUGGUGUUGGGGUGGCUUUGAGCUGCUCCAGUGCCGAAGGGAAGCUGUUAAGUCCGCCGCCUGGAAGUACGGUCGCAAGACUGAAACUUAAAGGAAGU